rnacentral:sRNA from 1 species
ACUUUGGAAAAGCUUUGGCCGAGAGGAAGGGUCCAUUCAGAUGGUUGGGGAGUGGGGCUUAGAAUUUUAUUUUUAGUUUACAAAGAUGAUGGGGGCUGUGUUAAAAAGAAAAAAUAUACAGAUCACGGCACAGGGAUUGGGAAUUGGGGGAGGCACUGGGUUAGCUGCAGGUAAAUUAUAACAGAGUGACUAGGGUAGGCUGGGUUGAGAAGGUGACAAUUUGACAAAGAUGUGAAGGGGGAGGAGUCAGUCAAGCAGAUAUCUGUGGUGAAGGCCUUCCAGACAGAGGGAGCAGUUGGAAAAAAGUCAGAGGCUGAGUCGUUCCAACAUGGCGCAGAUGCCACAAGGACACUAGCACACCAGCAGGAAGCUGAACAGAAGGCUGGAGGUGCCACGGUGACAAGGACGGGAUCCUGUCAGGCCAGGUGAAAGGUGUAGCAGUCACUCGGCCUACACCCACAGCAUCGACCUUGUGAACCCAGCGACCUGACUG